CCACCGCCUCCCGACGCGGGUUAAGGAGGAUCGCGGAUCCCCGCGGGUCGCCGGCCCCCCGCACCCGGGCACCGGCGGUGCCAGCGUCCACGCUAAGCGCCACGCAGACCUCUCCUUGGGCUGACUGAGGUCUCCUCCUAGACGAGCAUUCCCGGUUUUCUCAGAAACGUAUUUGAUGGCUUCUCUCUUUCUCUUCCGGACCGCUUAUAAAGGGUUAUGGAGCCUGGCGUGAAGUUAAAGUUUACUCUUCUCCUGGAGUUUAUACAUUCAUUUUACAUCCUGGUUAAUUCUCUCAACUAUGUGGAGAAGCCAGGCUUGCAGCGGGAGACGUGAGCGAGCGGGUGGAGCGAGGCUGGAGGCGGGAGCGGCACAGCCAGGGAGGCCCAGCCACGCGUCUGUUCCACCUUAAGAGGCGCCCGCCUCUCCCCGCCAGCAAGCUCUCGGUUCCGCCCACCCCGGUGGCAGCCCGGCCCGGAACGCGAAGGCGAGGAGGGAGGAGAACGGCGGCGAAUGGAAAGAUCCGCGCCCCCGGCUGCCGGCCGCACGCUCCGGGCUGGGUGCGGAGCGGGCUCGGGGAUGGGCCCGCGAGCCACUGCAAGGCGGGCUGGGACCGGGACCGCGGGGCCAUCCCGGGUGGGCGCCAGGGAGCCGAACUGGAUCCAGGCUGGACCCGGAGGCGAGCAGCACGGACAAACGUAGAAAGUUGUAACUUUCCUGGUCCCAGACGCACCGCGUCAAGGAAUUUCCAAAAGAGGGGCAAGGGGUCCGCGCCUCGCCUUCGUCCUGAUUGGUGGGGUUGAGGGUGGGCUGGGCCCCGGGGUGCUCGAGGAUUGGCCCUGUCGGCAGUCCAUCACGGCAUGACGCAG